CCUUGGUUGUACUCAACUGCUUGCUUAAUCUAAUCCUGUUUCCUUUAGCAGUUGCUCUUCUGGUGUAACCCAGAGUUUUCUUGUUCCCUUGAACCUUCACAUCUCCAUUUUGUGGCAACUUCAGUUCCAGGAACAACACCUGCAAGAGACCAGCAUUUCAAAUCAGUUUCUGCAUCCUGUUCCCAGGAGAGAAAAAAAGCAACAGAGCACUUAAACAGCUUGUUCCAACCAAAGGAUAGUACAAAUGCUUCAGAUAUAUUUCCAAGGGAAGUUCCCUCUUUUGACAAAUGAACAUUUUGACACAGAUUAUACUUAGGUACCAUCAAACCCACAUAGCAAAGCAAAUGUCCUCUAAAUACUGUUCAAGAUCUCCCACAGGAAGAAAAUUUCACUAAACCCUCUGACAGGUGUGCAUAUUCAAACAUAAAUAACAGAAGGAAAGUA